rnacentral:misc_RNA from 1 species
AAAGGUGCAUGAGUGGUGUUUGGUUUGUUACGGGUGGUUGGCUCUUUGCUUGUGCAACAACUUCCACCUGGCAUACCUCUUCAUUCUUGUGUCAAUGCUUGUAUCGCAUUGAAUGCACGGUGGGUUUCUUGUAUUGCAUGCCUAAUUGAUGGUAUCAUUCGAUGAAUCGAGGUCUAUUUCGUCUUGUGUCGCACAUGCGAUGUGAGAUGAACCAUAAAGCAGCCUUUGUGAUCCACUCUUUUGAUGCACACACAUUGAUUUUGUGGCCCAUUGAGUGUUGCUUGGUCUCAUGGAUAUGGAACCUUGUUUGGGCAUGGGAUCUUUUACUAGUUCCUUGUUUGCCCUAGUUAAGCUUUUCAAAUACGAUUUCCUAUCA